rnacentral:rRNA from 1 species
UACGGAGGGUGCAAGCAUUAAUCGGAUUUAUUGGGCGUAAAGGGCGCGUAGGCGGCCUUCUAAGUCAGACGUGAAAUCCCCCGGCUUAACCUGGGAACUGCGUCUGAUACUGGGAGGCUUGAGUAUGGGAGAGGGAUGUAGAAUUCCAGGUGUAGCGGUGAAAUGCGUAGAUAUCUGGAGGAAUACCGGUGGCGAAGGCGGCAUCCUGGACCAUAACUGACGCUGAGGCGCGAAAGCUAGGGGAGCAAACGGG